rnacentral:rRNA from 1 species
GAUGAACGCUAGCGGCAGGCCUAACACAUGCAAGUCGAGGGGUAGAGGAAGCUUGCUUCCUUGAGACCGGCGCACGGGUGCGUAACGCGUAUGCAAUCUACCUUGUACAGAGGGAUAGCCCAGAGAAAUUUGGAUUAAUACCUCAUAGUAUUAUGAAAUCGCAUGGUUUUAUAAUUAAAGUUCCAACGGUACAAGAUGAGCAUGCGUCCCAUUAGCUAGUUGGUGUGGUAACGGCAUACCAAGGCAAUGAUGGGUAGGGGUCCUGAGAGGGAGAUCCCCCACACUGGUACUGAGACACGGACCAGACUCCUACGGGAGGCAGCAGUGAGGAAUAUUGGUCAAUGGGCGCAAGCCUGAACCAGCCAUGCCGCGUGCAGGAUGACGGUCCUAUGGAUUGUAAACUGCUUUUAUACAGGAAGAAACACUCGGACGUGUCCGAACUUGACGGUACUGUAGGAAUAAGGAUCGGCUAACUCCGUGCCAGCAGCCGCGGUAACAC